GGGCUUCCAGGAACUUAGACGCGGGAGAGGCCGACGUGCGUCGGUGACGCGCGGGGUUGGGGCUCUGGCUGGUGGGGAAGCCGGCCGGAUCGGGUGGAGUGGGUUGGAAGCACAGCGGGCGGCGGGCGGGGAAACCCUGUGGAAGCUCCAUUCGGCCGCCACUCAGCUGCGCCUAGCCUCCGCAAGCCUCCGCCACCCGCCGGUACCAUGAAAGGAUUGGACUGAGACCCGUCCAUCUAUCAAUGCCAGUCUUCUUAACCACAUCGUUGUUUCUCCCUCGACCUCUUUUUAGGGUGUGUGGUUGUUGCAAAAUGCGUGCCCUCUUGUCUGGACUGGAUGUUGCCCAGGGACAAGCUCCUACAGCAGCGUUUAUUAAUAAAAAUAGCAACCCUCUUUGUUAAGCGCUGUGUGCCAGACACCCUGGUCUGCCACCAUCAUCUCACCUUGGAUUACUGCAGUCACUCCCUCUGCUCUCCCUGCUUCCACCCUGAAGGCUCUACAGGCUACUUUCAAAGCAUUGGUCGGAAUGAUUCUUUAAAGCAUCCUCUGAGCCCAGGACCCUCCACUUGCUCUCUAUCUCAUGACAAAGAGUCCUUGUUGGUUUGCAACCAUCUCAGGAGCUUCUCAGGUGUGAUCUGAAAAUGGCCCCAGUGCAUGGAGCACAGGGAGAAACUAAAGACCAAGGCAAAACACUCCAGAUGGGUCAUGAUACUGGGAUCGUGGGAUCAAGCCCUGC